UGCGGACCGGGCCCCUCUGGCGGGUGGCGAAAGCCUCCCGUGAUGUCGGACCGCAUCG
rnacentral:ncRNA from 1 species